rnacentral:lncRNA from 10 species
GGCAUGAGCCACCGUGCCAGGCUCCAUUCUCCUCUUUGGAUUGUCAGUUGAAAUACUACCUCUUCAGAGGGAACUUUUCCAGCUACCCUUGCAAAGUUGAGUCCCCAAGUUCAUUUCUGACAUGGCAUCCCAUUUAUCCUCCUCAAGGCAUUUACUGCAAUAUGGAAUUAUUUUCCUUAUUGUCUACUGUUAAAAUUUUCUG